AUACCGUGAAACUGCGAAUGGCUCAUUAAAUCAGUUAUCGUUUAUUUGAUAGUACCUUACUACUUGGAUAACCGUGGUAAUUCUAGAGCUAAUACAUGCUGAAAACCCCAACUUCGGAAGGGGUGUAUUUAUUAGAUAAAAAACCAAUGCCCUUCGGGGCUUCUUGGUGAUUCAUGAUAACUAAACGGAUCGCAUGGCCUUGCGCCGGCGACGGUUCAUUCAAAUUUCUGCCCUAUCAACUUUCGAUGGUAAGGUAUUGGCUUACCAUGGUUUCAACGGGUAACGGGGAAUUAGGGUUCGAUUCCGGAGAGGGAGCCUGAGAAACGGCUACCACAUCCAAGGAAGGCAGCAGGCGCGCAAAUUACCCAAUCCCGACACGGGGAGGUAGUGACAAUAAAUACUGAUACAGGGCUCUUUUGGGUCUUGUAAUUGGAAUGAGUACAAUUUAAACCUCUUAACGAGGAACAAUUGGAGGGCAAGUCUGGUGCCAGCAGCCGCGGUAAUUCCAGCUCCAAUAGCGUAUAUUAAAGUUGUUGCAGUUAAAAAGCUCGUAGUUGAACCUUGGGCCUGGCUGGCAGGUCCGCCUCACCGCGUGUACUUGUCCGGCCGGGCCUUUCCUUCUGGAGAACCUCAUGCCCUUCACUGGGUGUGCUGGGGAACCAGGACUUUUACUUUGAAAAAAUUAGAGUGUUCAAAGCAGGCCUUUGCUCGAAUACGUUAGCAUGGAAUAAUAGAAUAGGACGUGCGGUCCUAUUUUGUUGGUUUCUAGGACCGCCGUAAUGAUUAAUAGGGACAGUCGGGGGCAUCAGUAUUCAAUUGUCAGAGGUGAAAUUCUUGGAUUUAUUGAAGACUAACUACUGCGAAAGCAUUUGCCAAGGAUGUUUUCAUUAAUCAGUGAACGAAAGUUAGGGGAUCGAAGACGAUCAGAUACCGUCGUAGUCUUAACCGUAAACUAUGCCGACUAGGGAUCGGGCGAUGUUCUCAUUUUGACUCGCUCGGC
rnacentral:rRNA from 1 species